rnacentral:rRNA from 1 species
GACGAACGCUGGCGGCGUGCUUAACACAUGCAAGUCGAACGGUGAAGCGCCUUCCUUUUUGGUGGGUGUGGAUGAGUGGCGAACGGGUGAGUAACACGUGAGUAACCUGCCCCCUUCUUCUGGAUAACCGCAUGAAAGUGUGGCUAAUACGGGAUAUUCUGGGUCUGUCGCAUGAUGGGUCUGGGAAAGAUAUUGUUUCGGUGGGGGAUGGGCUCGCGGCCUAUCAGCUUGUUGGUGGGGUGAUGGCCUACCAAGGCGGUGACGGGUAGCCGGCCUGAGAGGGUGGACGGUCACACUGGGACUGAGACACGGCCCAGACUCCUACGGGAGGCAGCAGUGGGGAAUAUUGCACAAUGGGCGCAAGCCCGAUGCAGCGACGCCGCGUGAGGGAUGGAGGCCUUCGGGUUGUGAACCUCUUUCGCCAGUGAAGCAGGCCUGCCUCGUUUGUGGGUGGGUUGACGGUAGCUGGAGAAGAAGCGCCGGCUAACUACGUG